GACAUAUGGUAAGAUUACAUGAAUUCAAAAUAACCUACAAUUCCUUCAAAUUAAUUUGAAGCCAGUUUAAUUUUUUGAGCCAGCUUUGACAUCUGCAGAUAUGAGUUUCUGAAGAGGGGCCUGCUGAGGUUAGAUGUGCUGAAUAAUAUCCAUUUUCAUAUCAGAAAAAACACUGCAUUAAACAUUGUCUUAGCUCACUGAGCUGAGGUCAACAGGUAAUAUAACCAACCUGUGAGGUGGCUCACCCCCGUAAGAUAAACACAUAAAUGAUCCCUGAUAGAACCGAUAAUUAAAGGCACAUCAGUGACAGGGAAUGCUAUUAAAACUAAACUAUAAACUGGUGACAUUAACUGCAAAAGAAGAUUUUUAUUGAUACAUUUCAGGUAGAAUUUAGUUUUCAAUAAGGAAAAUGCUGUAAGAAACCUGAAUUUGUUGCAACAAAUUUAAAAUAAAAGCUUUUAUGCUAAUUAUUUUCUGUGAUAAUAUUUUUCAGAGCUCAUCAUCUGUGACAGCUCUUGGCUCUCCUGACUGUAACCUCCCUGUGGCAGCUUCUCACAGACUCAAUCAACUCCUCUUCCCCUCCCCCCUCAAACACACACACACAGACACACACACACAGAGACCCCCUUCCAAAAACCCAUCAAAGAGUAAUACAAUGGCUCCAUCUGUAGGAUAAAGUAGAGAGUCGCAACAGGAAGUUACCCCAAAAUCUGAGGUUUCAAACAGGAAGUUGGGUUUCUGAACUUUGACAGGCCAGAACCGGCACACGCUUCGACCAAAACUCACAAUUUUCGGAGGACUUCUUCCAAAAAUUGUCAAGGAGGGGCUGACAACAUUUGAAGUGAAUCUGGUCACCCGUCUAGAAACUGGACAUCACACUAUAAAAUAUGUCAUUUCCUGCUAUAAAUAGGUGGUGCUACAACAAUUGUAUGAAUAUUGACAUAUGGAUGUGUGCAGAUAGGUACCAUUAACAAUCCUGUAAAGUUUGAUGCAGUUUGGACAAAGUAUGGCCGAAAUAUAGCAAAUAUAAAGCAACUUCCUGUUUUGUGGCGAGUGAUCGAACUUUGAGGGGCCAUAACUUCCACGCCCUUCAAUGAAAAGUCCGAAACUUUUGCAAUUUAACUUCGUCUAUGUCUUAAGAACAAAUUAUCAAAUUUUGAAAUCAAUCGGAUAAUGCGUCUAGGACUAGUUCGCGUUCAAGCGACCCCUGGAAAUGGCCAAAAACACACAAUUUUUUCACCUUCCGGUCAAAAUAAAAAUACUUUCUGUUGGGUUUAGAAUAUGGCUCCAAGAGACUUUUUGGUGCGUCAUGGGAUGUUACAUAUGUGUGCAGAUUUUCAGAUUUUUAGGCGCAACGGGCUUGAGGGGCUGUUCCGUUUAAAAAUGUAGGUGGCGCUACCGAGGCCAUUUUGCCACACCCAUGCUCAAGACCCCUAAAUUCUUAAAUUUUUCGCCGUGCCUGACGCGUCUGCAAAUUUUCAGGAGUUUUGACGCAUGUUAAGGCCUUCAAAAAGGCAAUCAAAGAGGCGGAAAAAGAAGAAAAAAAAUAAUAAUAAUAAUAAUUAAAGCUGCGAGCAGCGUUGAACGGGCCCUCGCACCCGGCGCCCGUCGGGGGAGCGGCGACCGCGGGACCCCGGCAACCGCGGGGUCAACGCAGGUCGCAGGGCACACGCUGGCGUAACAGUUCACACUUCCGAGAUGUAAAAAUUUUAAAUAAAAGCUUUUAUGCUAAUUAUUUUCUGUGAUAAUAUUUUUCAGAGCUCAUCAUCUGUGACAGCUCUUGGCUCUCCUGACUGUAACCUCUCUGUGGCAGCUUCUCACAGACUCAAUCAACUCCUCUUCCCCUCCCCCCUCAAACACAAACACAAACACACACACACACACAGAUACCCCCUCCCAAAAGGAGAUAAAACUCAGUUUUAACUUGAGUUUACAAGCUUUGAGCUUUGAGCAAAAGCAUUUUUUUUAAGUUCUGUUAUUGGGUGCAUAUAUAAAUCAUUUAUGCUUAAACAAGGCUUAUAAUGAAGUUAUUUGAACAGUGAAUAUCUCAUCUGCCUAAAGUCAGGGCGAAGCCACUAACCAGCUGUAGGGAUGGGUAUCAUUAGGAUUUUAUCUUUAUCCAUACAGACCCCUAUCAGUCCAGCUCAGACUGUUACUGGUUUAAGAGAGUGAAGUUUAUAGCAAUUUGCAAAAUUUGGAGAUUAGUGACAAACUAACCAGUUAGACCACAUACAGACAAGCUUUCAUUUUAGCUGUUAGUAACAGUUUGCCAUGAGCUUAACCAGCGUGCUGUGCUUCGUGUUAAACAUGUCAUGAGACUGUGGACAAUGCUGAAAAUAUUACUUUACUAACUACUGGCCGAACAGGCGCUUUUACAAAGAAAAGGUAAAGGCCAGCAGCUUUUACUUUUCAAUGCACUUGUCGUCAACUUGAGUGGCUUAUAUUCAGCUGGUUCACCUCGACGCCGGUGGAUGUAGACGUGCACUUUUCCUGUCGCCGUACACUGUGUAACAUGAAAAUAUCAGCCGACCCCUUGUGAAAUUUCCUAACUGAUCAAAACCAAACU